UACGUAGGGGGCAAGCGUUGUCCGGAUUUAUUGGGCGUAAGGAGCGUGUAGGCGGCCAAACAGGUCAGCUGUGAAAACUCGAGGCUCAACCUCGAGACGUCGGUUGAAACCGUUUGGCUAGAGUCCGGAAGAGGAGAGUGGAAUUCCCGGUGUAGCGGUGAAAUGCGCAGAUAUCGGGAAGAACACCCGUGGCGAAGGCGGCUCUCUGGGACGGUACUGACGCUGAGACGCGAAAGCGUGGGGAGCGAACAGG
rnacentral:rRNA from 1 species